rnacentral:rRNA from 1 species
GACAGAGGGUGCAAACGUUGUUCGGAAUUACUGGGCGUAAAGCGCAUGUAGGCGGCCUAGCAGGUCGGAUGUGAAAUCCCUCGGCUCAACCAAGGAAGUGCAUUCGAAACCGCAAGGCUCGAGUCCCGGAGAGGAUGGUGGAAUUCUCGGUGUAGAGGUGAAAUUCGUAGAUAUCGAGAGGAACACCGGCGGCGAAGGCGGCCAUCUGGACGAGGACUGACGCUGAGAUGCGAAGCGUGGGAGCAAACAGG